UACGACUACAUAUCAGGCAUAUCAAUAAGCGGAGGAAAAGAAACUAACAAGGAUUCCCUUAGUAACGGCGAGUGAAGCGGGAAGAGCUCAAAUUUGAAAUCUUCAAGGUUCUACCUUGACGAAUUGUAGUUUAAAGAAGUGUUUUCUGUUAGAUGAGUAGCAAAAGUUCCUUGGAAUGGGACAUCAUAGAGGGUGAGAAUCCCGUAUUUGGUUAUUCAUUCUAGCUUUGUGAUACACUUUCAAAGAGUCGGAUUGUUUGGGAAUGCAGUCCAAAAUGGGUGGUAAAUUUCAUCUAAAGCUAAAUAUUGGCGAGAGACCGAUAGCGAACAAGUACCGUGAGGGAAAGAUGAAAAGAACUUUGAAAAGAGAGUUAAACAGUACGUGAAAUUGUCAAAAGGGAAGCGUUUGACACCAGUGUUGUUUAGUUGAAAAUCAAUUCAAUAGUUUUUGAUUCUAAGUAGUAUUGACUUCAUCAGCUUGCUGCUUUCUUCUCAGAAAUUAUUGAAUGCACUUUUCAGUUAACAAGUCAACAUCAAUUUCUUUUGUUGUAAAAGGGUAAGAGGAAGGUGGCUUGCGCUUCGGCUCAAGUGUUUAUAGCCUUUUAUCUCUGCAAUCGGAGAGAUUGAGGUCUGCAGCGCAGAUCUUUCGGGGUUAGAUACAUUGGUGCUAAGCUAUAGCCUUGUAUAGACAACUUGUUGACUAUGCUCAGUCAUGUAGCUUACUCGCUGAUGCUAUUUUACCUACGCUUAGGGUGUUGAGUAGCGACAUACGCAC
rnacentral:rRNA from 1 species